GACGAACGCUGGCGGCGUGCUUAACACAUGCAAGUCGAACGGAAAGGCCCUGCUUGCAGGGUGCUCGAGUGGCGAACGGGUGAGUAACACGUGGGUGAUCUGCCCCUUACUUUGGGAUAAGCCUGGGAAACUGGGUCUAAUACUGGAUAGGACCAUGCUGUAGGUGGUGUGGUGGAAAGAUUAGUUUCGGUAAGGGGUGAGCUCGCGGCCUAUCAGCUUGUUGGUGGGGUAAUGGCCUACCAAGGCGUCGACGGGUAGCCGGCCUGAGAGGGUGGACGGCCACAUUGGGACUGAGAUACGGCCCAGACUCCUACGGGAGGCAGCAGUGGGGAAUAUUGCACAAUGGGCGCAAGCCUGAUGCAGCGACGCCGCGGGGGGGAUGACGGCCUUCGGGUUGUAAACUCCUUUCAGCCAUGACGAAGCCCUUGUGGUGACGGUAGUGGUAGAAGAAGCACCGGCUAACUACGUG
rnacentral:rRNA from 1 species